rnacentral:rRNA from 1 species
AAGUGGCGGCAGCUAUACAUGCAAGUCGAGCGAAUGGAUUGAGAGCUUGCUCCUUAUGAAGUUUAGCGGCGGACGGGUGAGUAACACGUGGGUAACCUGCCCAUAAGACUGGGAUAACUCCGGGAAACCGGGGCUAAUACCGGAUAACAUUUUGAACUGCAUGGUUCGAAAUUGAAAGGCGGCUUCGGCUGUCACUUAUGGAUGGACCCGCGUCGCAUUAGCUAGUUGGUGAGGUAACGGCUCACCAAGGCAACGAUGCGUAGCCGACCUGAGAGGGUGAUCGGCCACACUGGGACUGAGACACGGCCCAGACUCCUACGGGAGGCAGCAGUAGGGAAUCUUCCGCAAUGGACGAAAGUCUGACGGAGCAACGCCGCGUGAGUGAUGAAGGCUUUCGGGUCGUAAAACUCUGUUGUUAGGGAAGAACAAGUGCUAGUUGAAUAAGCUGGCACCUUGACGGUACCUAACCAGAAAGCCACGGCUAACUACGUGCCAGCAGCCGCGGUAAUGCGUAGGUGGGCAAGCGUUAUCCGGAAUUAUUGGGCGUAAAGCGCGCGCAGGUGGUUUCUUAAGUCUGAUGUGAAAGCCCACGGCUCAACCGUGGAGGGUCAUUGGAAACUGGGAGACUUGAGUGCAGAAGAGGAAAGUGGAAUUCCAUGUGUAGCGGGUGAAAUGCGUAGAGAUAUGGAGGAACACCAGUUGGCGAAAGCGACUUUCUGGUCUGUAACUGACACUGAGCGCGAAAGCGGUGGGGGAGCAAACAGGAUUAGAUACCCUGGUAGUCCACCGCCGUAAACGAUGAGUGCUAAGUGUUAGAAGGGGUUUCCGCCCUUAGUGCUGAAGUUAACGCAUUAAGCACUCCGCCUGGGGAGUACGCCGCAAGGCUGAAACUCAAGAAUGGACGGGGCCCGCCACAGCCGUUGCAGCCAUGGUGGUUAAUCGAAGCACCGCGAGAUCUACAGGUCCUGGACAUCAUCUGAAAUCCUAAGAAUAGUCUCCUUCGUGAGCGACUGACAGCGC